rnacentral:rRNA from 1 species
GUGGGGAAUCUUCCGCAAUGGACGAAAGUCUGACGGAGCAACGCCGCGUGAACGAUGACGGCCUUCGGGUUGUAAAGUUCUGUUAUACGGGACGAAUGGUACGACGGCCAAUACCCGUCGUAAGUGACGGUACCGUAAGAGAAAGCCACGGCUAACUACGUGCCAGCAGCCGCGGUAAUACGUAGGUGGCAAGCGUUGUCCGGAAUUAUUGGGCGUAAAGGGCGCGCAGGCGGCGUCGUAAGUCGGUCUUAAAAGUGCGGGGCUUAACCCCGUGAGGGGACCGAAACUGCGAUGCUAGAGUAUCGGAGAGGAAAGCGGAAUUCCUAGUGUAGCGGUGAAAUGCGUAGAUAUUAGGAGGAACACCAGUGGCGAAAGCGGCUUUCUGGACGACAACUGACGCUGAGGCGCGAAAGCCAGGGGAGCAAACGGGAUUAGAUACCCCGGUAGUCC